AUGCUUGGUAUUGAGCCGCUCGAGCUUCCUUUUAGUUUUAAGAAUAACAAGGAGAUGUCAUGGUCGGUUAGGCUAACCAACAAGACAAAGGCUUUUUUUGCAUUCAACAUUGAAAAACCAAGCAAGCAUUACACCAUACAGCCAGACAAAGGCAUCGUGAAGCCAGGAUACAACGAUUGUCUUGUUAAAAUAACAUCGCAGCCACAGGAAUGUGCACCGCAAGUUAUAGAGAAUGCUGACAAGUUCAUCGUGCGGAGCACAAAAGUUACCGGGGAUCUUAGAGAUGAGGAUAUCACUCGAUAUAUAUUCCACGAAGAGGUUCCUGGUAAAGUGGUUGAUGAGGUAGAUAUCUUGGUUGUAUAUGAGAAGGGUAGUCGCAAGAGAGGGCAAGACCCCGAUAUGACCGUCGAGGCAGUCCCCCCCCCCCGCAAGCGCAAGGCCAUCAAAUCUAGCAUCUAUGAAGAUGGCAAACGAGGACAGCUAGAUCGUCGUAAUUUCCAUCCACCAGAGAACUUUUCACACAGGCAACCUACGAACAAGACCUACCUACAGAGAGUUAGUGAUCGAGCCAUGGAUGUCACAAGAGGGGCCAUGGGCAGCCUGCUCCACAAGCUGGGCGAGCUCCUCAAGGAUGAGUUCAAUCUGGACACGAACGUCAAGGAAGACAUCAAGUCUCUUUCGAGAGAGCUGAUGAAGAUGCAUGUAGUACUCCACAAGAUAUCAGCUGUGCAACAGGACAACCUCGAUGACAUGGUCAAGCGUUGGGCCGCAGCCACAGUUACCAAGAACAUUGAUCCUCGCACGUUGGUCCAAUUCCAACGUUCAAAGCAGCUUGUGGGCAUCCAAGAGCCAAGGGAUGACCUAAUCAAGAAGCUUUCUCAAGUGUCAGAACAGGAGCUUAGAAUAUUCUCUAUCUACGGAGGUGGGGGAUUGGGCAAGACAACUCUGGCGAAGGCAGUGUAUGACAUGCUUGAAGGACAAUUCCAUUCCAUGGCUUUUGUUUCCGUGGGUCAGAAACCCAAUGAGAUGCAAGUUUUGCGAGAUAUUAUUUAUAAAUUUUCCAAAGAUUUGAAUACAGCAACCCUGAACAUAAAGCAGCUCGUCGAAGAACUUCACAGAUUACUAGAGAACAAGAGAUCCAAUAGCUGCAGCCUGUGGUCUGCCAGUCCAUGGUGGUCGUUGGGGGCGGCACUUUGGAUCCAGCGCCUCGUGCCGCAGUUCCGAUUCCAAUUCGAGUGGCGAUAUCUGGCGUACUUCAUUGUAAUUGAUGAUAUUUGGGAGUCCUCGGCAUGGAGUAACAUUGAACUAGCUUUCCCAGAAAGCAAUCUUGGUAGUAGAGUGGUGAUAACUAAAAGGAUUCACUCUGUUGCUAAUGUUGCUUGCAGCAAUAGAAACCGUGUUGAGAUGAAAGCACUCAAUGACCAAGACUCGAGAAUACUAUUUCUUAGUAGAAUAUUUGGUAUGGAAGAUGCUUGCCCUGAUGUACCAGAAGACAUCUUGAGUGUUAUCCUUGAAAAAUGCCAUGAUAUGGAGCGAAUAUUGGAUCUUAGCUACAGACAUCUUCCUGAUCAUCUCAAGACAUGUCUGCUUCAUGUUUAUAUGUACCCAGAGGAUCGCAAGAUAGACAAAAAUGAUUUAUUGAGGCAAUGGGUAGCUGAGGGUUUCGUGUUGAGUACAAAUGGUCAGCUAGAUGUAGAAGACGUUGCAGAAGAGUACUUUGAAGAGCUCAUCAACAUGUGUAUGAUCCAACCUGAGAGGAUAGAAGAGUACAGUAAUGAAGUGUUAUCGUGCAGUGUACAUGAUAUAAUUCUCGACCUUAUGAGAUCCAAGUCAUCUGAUGAGAAUUUUAGUCAUAUAGCUGAUGGUUCGAGAGCAUGGGCACAUGGGGAGAUCCGUCGAAUCUCGGUCUACUGCAAUGAUAAAGAGGAUACUGCAAUUUUUGAAACAGUCAAAGGGUCACUAUCACAUGCUCGGUCAGCCUUAUUUCACUACGUUUCGCCUGUACCUUAUUUACCGGUGUUCAAGUAUGUCCGCGUACUGCACAUACAACCACUAAACCAGCAGGGUCUAGACGUCACUGCUAUCACUAGGUUGUUUCUGCUAAGGUACUUAACGAUUCGUCUCGAUGGUUUUAAGUUGAAGCUACCUGAUCAAAUUGGGGAGUUGCAUCAUUUGGAGACAAUGGAUCUGAAGGGUUGCAUCUUCGAAAAAUAUCCAUCGGAUAUUAUGUGUUUGCGAUGGUUAUCACAUCUCAGUUAUGGAUGUUGGUCUGGUACAGCAUUGCCUGAUGGGGUGGAGAGGCUUAAAUCUCUGUGCACCCUCCAAGGCGUACAACUGGAUAAAAGCUCGGCAGAGAAUAUCAAGGGCCUCGGCAAGCUGGCAAACUUGAGAAGACUUGAGAUCGAUAAGGGGAAGGAACCGACCAGAGAUAUGUGUAUGGAUGCCUUGCACUCAUCCAUCUCCAAGAUUUCCUCCAGCCUCAGGAUCCUUACUGUCGGACAUACAUACUAUUUUGAUGUCCCCCAAUACUGGAGCAGCAGGCCCCUAUUCCCUUAUGGUUCUGCUAUUCGGGAGCUCAAUCUAGGCGGCUUAAGGUUUGAAAGGUGCCCCGGGUGGAUUAGCCAGCUCAGCAACCUCCACAAGUUUUCAAUUACAGUGUGGGAGGUGGCUGAUGGUCUCAAUUUAGUUUCGGGACUGUCUUCCCUUGCCUUCUUCGAGUUGGAGAUUUUGCAUGUUGAACGUCAAUUCCAAAAGGAAGAAAUGGUAGUCAUUCCUGGUGGCGGGGCAUUCAAAGCACUCAAAGAGCUGAGGUUGCGCUGUCCAAAGGCGGUACUGACCUUUCAGGCCGGGGCUAUGCCCAAGCUAGAGAAGCUUGUCAUGUGUUUCCGUUACGAGAUGACCCCCCAAUUCCUACCGGUUGGCAUCCAGCACUUACCAGCCCCCACCCUCAAAGAAAUCUGGUUAUGUCUGGAUGAGGGUUACAUGCAGGUCAAAGUGAAAGGCUCCGAGGACUGGGAUGAUUACAAGUGGAAACGACACUGGAAUUCAUAUAGGUGCAGAGACAAAAAACUAAAACACGAUAGGAAGUUGAAAGCCAUGUUGCAGAAAGCAUUCAAGCAGCAUCAUCCUGGAGCUGUGAUCUACGUUGACUUUGACGGGCACGAGCAAGAAUAUCUAGAGGAAUAUAGUGAUGAAGAAUAUUAUGAGCAAGAUGACAGCAAAGAAGAAGAUGAUGAAGAAUUUUAUUUUACUGAAGAAGAUUACGACAGUGCUGAUGAUAAAGAAUUUUAUUCUACCGAAGAAGAUGUCGAGGCUGCUUAUCUAUUGGCUGACACAAGGCAAUUACUUCAGCUGAUUGAGGAGCAGAAAGUUUCUGGUAAGAUGUGCAUCGAGGCUGAGGUGCCUGUGAAUCUGAUGGUGGACACGUCACUGCAUCUUGCAGUCGGCAAUGAUCCCUUUGUUCAGCAUGGUAACAAUGACAUGCUGCUUAGUGAUGCAGAUUAUUAUUGUUCCGAACUAGAUGAUAAGCCUACUUAUCAAGGGAAUGGAUACCAAGCUUCAGUACAAUUUCAGGCUAACACAAGGCGAUUUGUUGAGCUGAUUGAGGCACGGCAAGAUUAUGGUGGGAUGAGCAUUAUUAGUGAUACAGCUCCGGCUCCGGUGGUGGACACGUCACUACAUCUUGCCGUGGGAUCGGAGGUCCUGUUGAUUGGUUCGCAUCUUCUGGAAUUUUAUUUUACUAAAGAAGAUUACGACAGUGUUGAUGAUGAAGAAUUUUAUUCUACUGAAGAAGAUGCCGAGGCUGCUUAUCAAGUGUACGUGUCCAAAAAUUCAGCACAAGCCCAUCCUGAUCACAAAAGGCAAUUAGUUGAGCUAGGCGAGCCACAUGAAGAUUCUGGUAGGAUGAACAUUAAUACUGAUGUGCCUACAUUGGUGGGCAUGUCGCUGCAUCUCGCGGUCGGAUCGGAGGGGCGGCAAAAUGGAAGCGGUGCCAAUUUUGCCAUUUUGCAACCCUCGCAGCUCAUGGAGAACUUUGUUGAUGAUAUCAACAAUGAUCUCUUCUUAGUUCAGCAGGGUAACACUGAACUUCUUUAUCCCAUUCAGGCCCCUAAUCAGCAAAAUGAUGGAGAAUUUCCGGAAGUCAACGAUCUUAUCACGGAGGCAGAAGUGAUCAAACUGAUUAACCAGUUCAUAUGA
rnacentral:rRNA from 1 species